GUGAGGCUGGCGUAUCGCGUCUGCGCCCUGAGCUUCUCCGGAACUUCCUCUCGGUUGACAGGGCGUCAAAGAAGACCAUGAGCACUAGGGGAAGGCCGCCACCAGGUCCUGAGGACACCCAGGAGCCCUGGGGAGAGGGCCACGUGUGGAGGCACCAAGGCCUCCCACCCAUAGCCACAUGAGGAGCCCCAUUCCAGGGCCACCUCUGGGGAGGCCUGAGCCCAUCUGCCCACCUGCCCAGCUGGGCCGCUUCUGGAUUCCUGACCUCGGAAACUGUGUGAGAUAAUAAAAGUUUGUUGUUUACACUA